rnacentral:rRNA from 1 species
UACGUAGGUGGCGAGCGUUAUCCGGAUUUACUGGGUGUAAAGGGCGUGUAGGCGGGAUUGCAAGUCAGAUAUGAAAACUAUGGGCUCAACCCAUAGCCUGCAUUUGAAACUGUAGUUCUUGAGUGCUGGAGAGGCAAUCGGAAUUCCGUGUAUAGCGGUGAAAUGCGUAGAUAUACGGAGGAACACCAGUGGCGAAGGCGGAUUGCUGGACAGUAACUGACGCUGAGGCGCGAAAGCGUGGGGAGCAAACAGG